AUUGAACGCUGGCGGCAGGCCUAACACAUGCAAGUCGAGCGGAUGACGGGAGCUUGCUCCUUGAUUCAGCGGCGGACGGGUGAGUAAUGCCUAGGAAUCUGCCUGGUAGUGGGGGACAACGUUUCGAAAGGAACGCUAAUACCGCAUACGUCCUACGGGAGAAAGCAGGGGACCUUCGGGCCUUGCGCUAUCAGAUGAGCCUAGGUCGGAUUAGCUAGUAGGUGAGGUAAUGGCUCACCUAGGCGACGAUCCGUAACUGGUCUGAGAGGAUGCUCAGUCACACUAGAACUGAGACACGGUCCAGACUCCUACGGGAGGCAGCAGUGGGGAAUAUUGGACAAUGGGCGAAAGCCUGAUCCAGCCAUGCCGCGUGUGUGAAGAAGGUCUUCGGAUUGUAAAGCACUUUAAGUUGGGAGGAAGGGCAGUAAGCUAAUACCUUGCUGUUUUGACGUUACCGACAGAAUAAGCACCGGCUAACUCUGUGCCAGCCGCCGCGGUAAUAC
rnacentral:rRNA from 1 species